rnacentral:rRNA from 1 species
AGAGUUUGAUCAUGGCUCAGAUUGAACGCUGGCGGCAGGCUUAACACAUGCAAGUCGAGCGGGGAAGGGUAGCUUGCUACUGACCUAGCGGCGGACGGGUGAGUAAUGCUUAGGAAUCUGCGUAUUAGUGGGGGACAACAUUCCGAAAGGAAUGCUAAUACCGCAUACGCCCUACGGGGGAAAGCAGGGGAUCUUCGGACCUUGCGCUAAUAGAUGAGCCUAAGUCAGAUUAGCUAGUUGGUGGGGUAAAGGCCUACCAAGGCGACGAUCUGUAGCGGGUCUGAGAGGAUGAUCCGCCACACUGGGACUGAGACACGGCCCAGACUCCUACGGGAGGCAGCAGUGGGGAAUACUGGACAAUGGGCGAAAGCCUGAUCCAGCCAUGCCGCGUGUGUGAAGAAGGCCUUUUGGUUGUAAAGCACUUUAAGCGAGGAGGAGGCUACUUGGAUUAAUACUCUAGGAUAGUGGACGUUACUCGCAGAAUAAGCACCGGCUAACUCUGUGCCAGCAGCCGCGGUAAUACAGAGGGCGCGAGCGUUAAUCGGAUUUACUGGGCGUAAAGCGUGCGUAGGCGGCUUUUUAAGUCGGAUGUGAAAUCCCUGAGCUUAACUUAGGAAUUGCAUUCGAUACUGGGAAGCUAGAGUAUGGGAGAGGAUGGUAGAAUUCCAGGUGUAGCGGUGAAAUGCGUAGAGAUCUGGAGGAAUACCGAUGGCGAAGGCAGCCAUCUGGCCUAAUACUGACGCUGAGGUACGAAAGCAUGGGGAGCAAACAGGAUUAGAUACCCUGGUAGUCCAUGCCGUAAACGAUGUCUACUAGCCGUUGGGGCCUUUGAGGCUUUAGUGGCGCAGCUAACGCGAUAAGUAGACCGCCUGGGGAGUACGGUCGCAAGACUAAAACUCAAAGGAAUUGACGG